rnacentral:lncRNA from 1 species
AUGAUCAAUAAACAGCGUUCUGAUUGCUUUACGCGAGGCUUGGAAAAUAUCCUCCCCUCCGGGACGGGGUGUCUCUGCUCGCCGGGAGGAGGAAGCCGGCAGAGCCCCCAGGACUCUGGUUUAACAGCGUUCCCCUUCCUGGGCUGUCGCCCCCGAAGCAGCUCUGCUUUCUCCUCCCCGUUGCUGGGAUCGAGCGGAGUCGGCGCUCUCCCAGCGAGGCCCCGGGGCAAACACCAGCCUCGGGGCUUGGGGCAGCUCUCCUGCAGCGGCCCUGGGGUGGGAGGUGGCYGUGGUCCCUGGUCCCACGCUGGGAUCCUUUUUCCCUGUGCACAUCCCACUCUGGGCGAGGGGCCUCCCUGGCAGCACCGCUGGGAUGGGGCCGGAGCAGGCGGAGGGAUGCAGCGGGGAAAGGGGGCUGCUGUGGCAGCGGGAAGGAAGAUUCCCCACAUCCAGCUUCUCUCUCCUCCGGCCCUGCUGUUCCCGACCUUGGGAAGAUGCAUGACCGCUCCUGCUAGCCUUGCUGGCAGCCUCGCUGUCCCCUCGUCCCCGUGGGCUUCCGCGUGCUUUGCAUCGCCCACCACCCGUGCCCGGCUUGGCUUUGGCUUGGCCGCGGGAGCCCGUGCUCCUCCCGGGCUGCCCUCGAGCAGGUUCCCCUCCCUGCACGGCUCCGGACCUGCCGUUGCUCCGUGUUUGUGUCUUGUGGUUUUCAUGCACCAGGAACGUGUUCUGCCGUGGGGCCCAGCCGUCCCAGGUGGUUUGUGCUUGUUUUGGUGUCUAGGCAAUGCCAUGUUUGGAGAGGCCAGCCGGGGCGGGGGUCCUCCCAGCCCGGGCCCUCGUGCUCGGGAAUUUGACAAAGCUGCUAAAUCCAACGGGAAAAACCUGCAUCUGCGGCGCCGAGCGCGUCCCCUUCCCCGCCGCGGUGGGAUGCGGGGCGGCUCCUGCCCGCGGAGGGGCCGCGAUGGCGCUGGGCCGCAACGGCCGCCGCGUGUGCGUGUGCUGCUGCUUUGUGUCGCCUGCGCCGAAUAA